rnacentral:rRNA from 1 species
ACGCACGCUGGCGGCGUGCUUCACCCCUGCCAGUCGCACGGAAAGGCCCUGCUUUUGUGGGGUGCUCGCGUGGCGAACGGGUGAGUAACACGUGAGUAACCUGCCCUUGACUUUGGGAUAACUUCAGGAAACUGGGGCUAAUACCGGAUAUGAGCUCCUGCUGCAUGGUGGGGGUUGGAAAGUUUCGGCGGUUGGGGAUGGACUCGCGGCUUAUCAGCUUGUUGGUGGGGUAGUGGCUUACCAAGGCUUUGACGGGUAGCCGGCCUGAGAGGGUGACCGGCCACAUUGGGACUGAGAUACGGCCCAGACUCCUACGGGAGGCAGCAGUGGGGAAUAUUGCACAAUGGGCGGAAGCCUGAUGCAGCAACGCCGCGUGCGGGAUGACGGCCUUCGGGUUGUAAACCGCUUUCGCCUGUGACGAAGCGUGAGUGACGGUAAUGGGUAAAGAAGCACCGGCUAACUACGUG